rnacentral:piRNA from 1 species
UAAAGUUUGUAUCCAAGGCCAGGUGA